UGUUCGAAACAUUACAUUCGCAGUUGCAUAUUUAGAAUAAAGCUUAGCAUCACUAGCAGACAAUAUGGGUGUGGUGAUGAGUUUGAUGCUACUAUCCGCCGUCUGUGAACAAUUAACAUAUCAGCUUAAACAGUAGAAACUUGUAGAGCGUCUUAUCAAUCACAAACAUACAGGAGUUAUAAUCACAACCAGCGAUCAACAGCUGUGUGCCUCAUUGUGCUUGCCGUGCUUUUAGUUAUCGCCAGUUGCAUACGAUUGGUCAGGUUUUGUCUGUUUUGCCAAUGGUAUCAUUAGAGAGCGAACUUAUCACUUCUGGCAUUGGCAUUGUCGCCAAGUAGCGAUAGCCCGACAUUCAGAUUUACCAGUCGAUUACAGGCGGUUGUUGUGGAAUAAAAUCAGCAUAUGGCAGCGA